ensembl:lncRNA
AUGAACAAUGCCACUUGUGAAAGCCAGGGUGAUGGGAGGAGCUUGGCCACUACGCCCAGCCAACGAGCGGAGGAGAGAACUCUAGCAGCCAGGGAGCCCACGCACCUGCAGUUUCAGGAGGGCAGGUGUUGCACCCCAAGCCACCCACACAGAACCCCCCCCCCCCCAGGCAAAGCAGCAGCAGCCACAGAGACAGCACCUGAGGUCAGAGUGGGACACUGUGGGUCAACGAUGUCCGCCCCGGCGGGGGGGGGGGGGUUUGCAGGCUCCCUAUGGACCGUGGGGAGCCCGCCAGAAGAUGCCCCCGCGCCCAGAGUGGGGCCCGCCCCCAGUCCACCACCCCUACACGAGCGGAGCGGGGCCGACCUGCAGCACAAGGCCAGCAAUUGGUGGGGGUCAGCAGGAAAGAGACCACCCAGGCAGACGAUCAUCGUACCCCGGGCGGAAAACCGGACCCCCCACACUCCAACCGCACCUCACACAAACACAGACGCAUACACCCACCCACAUGUGCAACACACAUCAUCACAUCAACACACACACACCAUAAACUCUCUCACAACAAACUAGUCAAUCAUUCGUGAACCAAUGCACUCUCAGAUACAUUCUCGCACCCACACCAUACGCUUGAUCACAUUCGUGGGGAGGGUAGGUCUCCGGCCUGCCGUCCAUGUGGCCCCAGGCAGGGGCCGCAGCUCCUCCCGAGCCCCGCCCAACCCCCCUAACCCGGGGGAGGCAGAGGGCAGCAGAAAAGGUACCCCAGAACCCUGCAACCCAGCUUGGACGUGAGUGUGUGGAACUAAAGUGCACUGAAGGUGGGUGACACUUUCAGGAGCACAACCGCUGGCUGACGGUGUGUCCGACAGUGCCCCCCCUCACCCUAAAUGUCUUUUUGCAGUUAAAACUGGGUGGUGAUCUCUCCACCAGGGCCAGUGGGCGAGGCCACAACUGGCCUCAGCCCCAGGCCCCAGUGAAAGAGCCCACCCCCAGCCCUAAAUGUAUGUGUAUGUGGCUAAGUAUGAGGAACUUUGGGAGAUAGCCAAUUUUCCGAGGGGUCCAGCAGGCAGAGCCAUCAAUGGGAAGGCUCCGUCUACUGCCCCCCCCCCGGAAGGAGCCCCCAGAUUCCUGGACGAGUGUGUAUGACUAAUGCAAUUAAGACUGCACUGGCUCUGCUACCCAUCCCACCACCCCCCACAACCCCUAGCCAGGAAGAGACAGCCGAGACCCAGGGACCGCAGUACUACUGCCCAGGCACCACACGCAGCACAGCCAGAGCCAUCCUCAACCUUCUUUCACACUUACCCAAUCUCUCGCUCAAGUAUGCCCAUGCUCGCCCCGUGUAGUGCUACACUCAAACCUACACACAUACUCUGCGGUUGUGCAUUGAGGGCCAACCUCCGCCCAGGGCCCAAUGAAGGUUGUAGCCUGAGUAGUCCGCCAACCCCCCCUGCAACAGGCCCGAGCAGUCACCAGAGGGCGUCGGACCGCUAGGGCAGGCAGCGCCCCACCCGAGCAAGGGCAGCGCCCCAGGGGAGAGACACCUCUCCGGGCACAGGCAGACACCCCCGAA